UCUGAGACUGCCACAGGCAACCUCUG
rnacentral:piRNA from 1 species